rnacentral:rRNA from 1 species
UGGGGAAUAUUGGACAAUGGGCGCAAGCCUGAUCCAGCCAUGCCGCGUGUGUGAAGAAGGCCUGUUGGUUGUAAAGCACUUUAAGCGAGGAGGAGGCUACUUGGAUUAAUACUCUAGGAUAGUGGACGUUACUCGCAGAAUAAGCACCGGCUAACUCUGUGCCAGCAGCCGCGGUAAUACAGAGGGUGCGAGCGUUAAUCGGAUUUACUGGGCGUAAAGCGUGCGUAGGCGGCUUCUUAAGUCGGAUGUGAAAUCCCUGAGCUUAACUUAGGAAUUGCAUUCGAUACUGGGAAGCUAGAGUAUGGGAGAGGAUGGUAGAAUUCCAGGUGUAGCGGUGAAAUGCGUAGAGAUCUGGAGGAAUACCGAUGGCGAAGGCAGCCAUCUGGCCUAAUACUGACGCUGAGGUACGAAAGCAUGGGGAGCAAACAGG